UGUCAAGGUGAAUGUAAUCUUCAACUCUAAAUGUUCAUUUUUUUUUCCCUUCAGAUUUUAGAAGAAAUUAAUAUAACUUCAUGAGCCUUCUAAGACUAUUGCGUGUCCUGAGUGCUGUGCCUUAUGGAUAAAUUGUGGGUAAAUCAACUGCAAAGGAACUCUGAGGUUAUUACCCCAUUUAAUUCAAAUAAUGGGGCCUCAGGAGAGAUCCUGAAAUUGAUGAUAGCUUUAUCAUUUCAUAAUUUAUUAACCUGCUAUCUCAGGAGGUGUGGGGGGUGAGAGAACACAUUUUGCACUCAUUUGAAACAUGGGACUUGUUAUAAGGAAAAUGGUCCUAAGAUGAUCUUUUCUUGCUUAUCAAGAGUUAAUUUAUGGGUUUUGGAUCAGUGGUAGAGCACUUGCCUAGUACAAGCAAGGCCCUGGGUUUGAUUCCCAACAUUGCAAUCAACCAAUCAAUCAAUCAAAUAGUUAAUGGAUGAACUCUGAAUGUCAAAGAGACAUCUGCACUCUGGUUUUCACUGCAACAUUCUUUACAAUAGCCAAGACAUGGGAGCAACCUGACUCUCCAUCAACAGAUCAAUGGAUGAAGCAACUGUGAUCCAAAGAAGAAAAUCCUGUCAUUCACACCAACAUGGAUGAUCCUGGGGGACCUUAGGCUCAGUGGAAUAAGCCAAGCACACAAAGACAAACACCACAUGAUCUCGCUUAUUUGUGGAAUCUAAAAAACGUUGAACUCAGAGAAAUAGGUAGUAAAAAGGUCAUUAACAGCGGUUUGAAGGUUAGCAGUUAAGGAGAUGUUUGUCAAAGGUUAGAAACCUUAAGCUGGAUGGAAGGAAUCCAUUUAAGAGACCUAUGGCACACAUGGAGACUACAGUUCAUAAUAACAUAGUGCUCAAAAUAACUGAGAGUAAAUUGUAAGUAUUCUCACCACAAAAAAAAAUGAUAAGUAUAUGUGGUCAUGCAUGUGUGAAUUAGUGCAAUGUAGCCAUCCCAUGAUGUCUACAUAGUUCAAAACAUCACAACAUUGACAAGAUAACUAUGUACAACCUGUGUACGUUAAUUAAAAUAAGUGUAUAGUUCUUUAAGUUAAUUGGCUUAGAUAAGCACGGCUCAGCCUUGAGUUCCUGGAAUACCUCCUCUGAAAGGAAAAGAUGGGUAGGAAGAGAGGCCUGGCUUUCCCGCCACCUAGUGGCAGCUGUGGUAAACUGCAAGCUGUAACCAUUAACAAGAAGAGAAGAAUAUUGAAUGACUGUGCCCCUGAAAAUACUCAUCGACAAUACAGCCUCAUGCAUAGCUGAAGAUCAGCACUUCAAUGUUUGGAAAAUUGGCUAACAUUUUCACUUUGGAAACAUAAAUUUUAAAUUCUAACUGUGGAGAUAAAUAAAGUAGACACAAGCAACUAAAAAUAUCCUUUAAGAAGUUGAGAGAGAUUCUGGUUAGAAAGAAAAGGAGCAAAAGGUGGUGAGAGAGGGAUGCCCAUUUUUCCUGAAGAGAACAAAACUAGGAAGCAAGAAACAUACAGCCUGUGGCUGCAGCCCUGAGGGACAAAUGUUUUCAGUCAAAGGCUGGAGAGGGC
rnacentral:lncRNA from 1 species